CAGUAGCCACGGUAAAACGUAGGGUGCAAGCGUUAAUCGGAAUUACUGGGCGUAAAGCGUGCGCAGGCGGUUAUAUAAGUCAGAUGUGAAAUCCCCGGGCUCAACCUGGGAACUGCAUUUGAGACUGUAUGGCUAGAGUGUGUCAGAGGGGGGUAGAAUUCCACGUGUAGCAGUGAAAUGCGUAGAUAUGUGGAGGAAUACCGAUGGCGAAGGCAGCCCCCUGGGAUAACACUGACGCCCAUGCACGAAAGCGUGGGGAGCAAACAGGAUUAGAUACCCGGGUAGUCCCUGUCUCUUAUAC
rnacentral:rRNA from 1 species